GUGCCAGCCGCCGCGGUAAUACCGGCAGCUCAAGUGAUGUCCCAUAUUAUUGGGCCUAAAGCGUCCGUAGCUGGCCGACCAAGUCUCCCGGGAAAUCCACCCGCCCAACGGGUGGGCGUCCGGCGGAAACUGUGUGGCUUGGAACCGGAAGGCUCAGAGGGUACGUCCGGGGUAGGAGUGAAAUCCCGUAAUCCUGGACGGACCGCCGAUGGCGAAAGCACGUCGCGAGGACGGAUCCGACAGUGAGGGACGAAAGCCAGGGUCUCGAACCGGAUUAGAAACCCCAGUAGUCC
rnacentral:rRNA from 1 species